UGCCAGUGAUAAACUGGAGGAAGGUGGGGAUGACGUCAAGUCAUCAUGGCCCUUACGACCAGGGCUACACACGUGCUACAAUGGCGCAUACAAAGAGAAGCGACCUCGCGAGAGCAAGCGGACCUCAUAAAGUGCGUCGUAGUCCGGAUUGGAGUCUGCAACUCGACUCCAUGAAGUCGGAAUCGCUAGUAAUCGUGGAUCAGAAUGCCACGGUGAAUACGUUCCCGGGCCUUGUACACACCGCCCGUCACACCAUGGGAGUGGGUUGCAAAAGAAGUAGGUAGCUUAACCUUCGGGAGGGCGCUUACCACUUUGUGAUUCAUGACUGGGGUGAAGUCGUAACAAGGUAACCGUAGGGGAACCUGCGGUUGGAUCACCUCCUUACCUGAAAGAAGC
rnacentral:rRNA from 4 species